GACCAGACUCCUACGGGAGGCAGCAGUGGGGGAUAUUGCACAAUGGGGGAAACCCUGAUGCAGCGACGCCGCGUGAGUGAAGAAGUAUUUCGGUAUGUAAAGCUCUAUCAGCAGGGAAGAAGAUGACAGUACCUGAGUAAGAAGCCCCGGCUAACUACGUGCCAGCAGCCGCGGUAAUACGUAGGGGGCAAGCGUUAUCCGGAUUUACUGGGUGUAAAGGGAGCGUAGACGGUUGUAUAAGUCUGGAGUGAAAGCCCGGGGCCCAACCCCGGGACUGCUCUUGGAACUGCGUGGCUGGAGUGCAGGAGGGGCAGGCGGAAUUCCUGGUGUAGCGGUGAAAUGCGUAGAUAUCAGGAGGAACACCGGUGGCGAAGGCGGCCUGCUGGACUGCAACUGACGUUGAGGCCCGAAAGCGUGGGGAGCAAACAGGAUUAGAUACCCGCGUA
rnacentral:rRNA from 1 species